rnacentral:tRNA from 1 species
GCCUUCGUGGUCUAGUGGUUAUGACGCUCGCCUUGCCAGCGAGAGGUCGCAGGUUCGAAUCCCGUCGGAGGCA